rnacentral:rRNA from 1 species
GACGAACGCUGGCGGCGUGCUUAACACAUGCAAGUCGAACGGAAAGGCCCUGCUUGCAGGGUACUCGCGUGGCGAACGGGUGAGUAACACGUGGGUGAUCUGCCCUGCACUUCGGGAUAAGCUUGGGAAACUGGGUCUAAUACCGGAUAGGAACCAUCUUUAGUGUGGUGGUUGGAAAGUUUUUUCGGUGUAGGAUGAGCUCGCGGCCUAUCAGCUUGUUGGUGGGGUAAUGGCCUACCAAGGCGGCGACGGGUAGCCGGCCUGAGAGGGUGUACGGCCACAUUGGGACUGAGAUACGGCCCAGACUCCUACGGGAGGCAGCAGUGGGGAAUAUUGCACAAUGGGCGCAAGCCUGAUGCAGCGACGCCGCGUGGGGGAGGAAGGCCUUCGGGUUGUAAACUCCUUUCGCUAGGGACGAAGCUUUUUGUGACGGUACCUAGAGAAGAAGCACCGGCUAACUACGUG